AUUGAACGCUGGCGGCAGGCCUAACACAUGCAAGUCGAGCGGAGCGCCGGUCGGGUGCGUAAUGCCUAGGAAUCUGCCCGUUCGUGGGGGCUGACGUUCAGUAACGGGCGCUAAUACCGCUUACUAUCAGAUUAGCCUAGGUCGGAUUCGCGUGGUGGUGGGGUAAAGGCCUACAAAGGCGACGAUCCGUAACCGGUCUGAGAGGAUGAUCAGUCACACUGGAACUGAGACACGGUCCAGACUCCUACGGGAGGCAGCAGUGGGGAAUAUUGGACAAUGGGCGAAAGCCUGAUCCAGCCAUGCCGCGUGUGUGAAGAAGGUCUUCGGAUUGUAAAGCACUUUAAGUUGGGAGGCGUUACCAGCAGAAUAAGCACCGGCUAACUACGUGCCAGCCGCCGCGGUAAUUC
rnacentral:rRNA from 1 species